rnacentral:snRNA from 1 species
GUCCUGACCUGGCAGGGGAGAUACCAUGAUCACGAAGGUGGUUUUCCCAGGGCGAGGCUUAUCCAUUGCACUCCGGAUGUGCUGACCCCUGCGAUUUCCCCAAAUGUGGGAAACUCGACUGCAUAAAA